CUAGCCCUACAAGAAAAAUUAAAACGGAAAAAAAUAAGCCUGCAACAACAACUUAGGCGAACUAAAGAAAGGUAACAAACUAUGGUUGAUGUCAUUCACGAACUUCAGCAAAAAGAAAUAAUCAAACCAGAGGAUGUUGAAGUAAUGCUAAAUUUGAUGGGGUACAAUUUUCAGAGACACUAUAAACAAUGUUAGUUGUGCCCAUGUGGAAGGAGAUAUUCUGACCCUGUAAAAGAAUUCGCUACAACAUUGCACUACUACUCACCUAAAGCGUAU